AGGGCACACAAAGGAUGCCUAGGUAGUAAGAGCCGAUGAAGGACGUGGUAAGCUGCGAUAAGCCUAGAUAAGUUGCAAUCGAACGUAAGAGUCUAGGAUUUCCGAAUGGAGCAAUCUAUUAAGAUGGAGUCUUAAUACGAAAGAGGGAACCACGUGAACUGAAACAUCUAAGUAACGUGAGGAAAAGAAAGUAAAAACGAUACCCAAAGUAGCGGCGAGCGAACUGGGUCAAGCCUAAACCUUAAAUAUGUCAAGGAUACAGCCGUUGUAUUUAAGGGGUUGAGGGACAAAGUAGUGAAGAACUGUAAGAUAUUCAAUAUAGUGUAUUGAUGAAUUAGAAUUGUAUGGAAAGAUAAACCGCAGAAGGUGAGAGUCCUGUAUAAGUAAAUCCUUACACAUAUAACUUUGCUCCCAAGUAACAUGGAACACGAGGAAUUCUGUGUGAAUCAGUGAGGACCAUAUCUCAUAAGGCUAAAUACUCUUACUAACCGAUAGCGCAUAGUACCGUGAGGGAAAGGUGAAAAGAACCCCUGGAGGGGAGUGAAAUAGAACCUGAAAUUGUGUGCUUACAAGCGGUCAGAGCCCAUUAGGGUGAUGGCGUGCCUUUUGGAGAAUGAUCCUGCGAGUUACGUUAAACGGCGAGGUUAAGUAUAACGGAGCCGAAGGGAAACCAAGUCUUAAUAGGGCGAUAUAGUCGUUUGGCGUAGACGCGAAACCUGGUGAUCUAAACCUGUCCAGGAUGAAGCUGUGGUAAGACACAGUGGAGGUCCUAACCCACCGCCGUUGAAAAGUUGGGGGAUGAGGUAGGUUUAGGGGUGAAAAGCCAAUCGAACCAGGAGAUAGCUCGUUCUCUCCGAAAUGCAUCUAGGUGCAGCCUUGAGUGUUCAAUUAUGGGGGUAGAGCACUGAAUGAUCUAGGGGGCAUAUUGCUUACUGAAAUCAAUCAAACUCCAAAUACCAUAAUUUAUAGCUCAGGAGUGAGACCAUGGGAGUUAACUUCCAUUGUCAAAAGGGAAACAACCCAGACCACCAGCUAAGGUCCCUAAUUAUAACUAAGUGGGAAAGGAGGUGGAGAUUCACAAACAACUAGGAGGUUGGCUUAGAAGCAGCCAUACCUUUAAAGAGUGCGUAAUAGCUCACUAGUCGAGAGUCUCUGCGCCGACAAUGUAACGGGGCUAAGUUAUAAACCGAAGCUGUGGAAUCCUUAUGGAUUGGUAGGAGAGCGUUCUGUAGGCUGUUGAAGAAGAAGGGUAACCAACUUUGGAGGUAUCAGAAGUGAGAAUGCAGGAAUAAGUAGCGAGAAAGGGGGCGAGAAUCCCCCUCGCCGGAAGACCAAGGUUUUCAGGGUAAAGCUUGUCUUCCCUGAGUAAGCCGGGACCUAAGCCCAGGCUAUAAUGCGUAGGCGAAUGGAAAACAGAUUAAUAUUUCUGUGCCAGUCAUUUAUUGUGAUGGAGGGACGCAGAAGGGUAUGUGCGCGGACGAUUGGUUGUGUCCGUAGAAGUAUGUAGGAUGACUUAGUAGGUAAAUCCAUUAAGUUAUAUCUGAGGUAUGAUAUACAGUCGUAAGAUGAAUGUACAAAUCCCACGCUGCCAAGAAAAACUUCUAACGUUAAUAUAUGACUGCCCGUACUGUAAACCGACACAGGUGGUCAGGAUGAGAAAUCUAAGGCGGACAGGCUAACUCUCGUUAAGGAACUCUGCAAAAUAACCUCGUAACUUCGGGAGAAGAGGAGCCCUUGUGUGUGAGUAUACACGCGAUACAAAGCGCACGAGGGUCGCAGUGAAGAGGCUCAAGCAACUGUUUAACAAAAACACAGGUCUAUGCUAAGCUGUAAGGCGAUGUAUAUGGGCUGACACCUGCCCAGUGCUGGAAGGUUAAGAGGAGGAGUGAGAGCUCCGAAUUGAAGCCCCAGUGAACGGCGGCCGUAACUAUAACGGUCCUAAGGUAGCGAAAUUCCUUGUCGGGUAAGUUCCGACCUGCACGAAUGGUGUAAUGAUUUGAGCGCUGUCUUGACGGGAGGCCUGGUGAAAUUGUAUUACCGGUGAAGAUACCGGUUACCUACAGUAGGACGGAAAGACCCCAUGGAGCUUUACUGUAGCUUGGUAUUGGGUUUUGGCAUUGCAUGUAUAGGAUAGUUGGGAGACUAUGAUGGUAUGGCGCUAGCUGUAUCGGAGUCAUCGGUGGAAUACCAACCAUUCAAUGCUGAAAUUCUAAUCUGUGGUUUGAAGCCACGGAGACAGUGCUAGGUGGGCAGUUUGACUGGGGCGGUCGCCUCCGAAAGAGUAACGGAGGCGUUCAAAGGUUCUCUCAGGUUGGAUGGAAAUCAACCAUAGAGUGCAAUGGCAUAAGAGAGCUUGACUGCAAGACUGACGGGUCGAGCAGAUGCGAAAGCAGGACAUAGUGAUCCGGCGAUUCCGAAUGGAAGGGUCGUCGCUCAACGGAUAAAAGCUACCCUGGGGAUAACAGGCUGA
rnacentral:rRNA from 1 species